AAAUGUGCAGUUCUCACAACAUUCGUGAAUUAACCAAUCAGAGAAUCGCUACUCCACGCUAUUGAAAACAACAGCAUAUGUGAACAGAAUUUGAUCGCAAAUUCGCGAAAAUAUACAGCGAAAAUACAGGGACUUUUUCGAUGAGAUAUACGAAAUUUGAAAUGGAAAACCAGCUCAACAGAGAGCCAAAGUAAUUCUGAAGAUUCUCGCGCUGAAUAUGUGAAGAUUGCGAAGCGUUUGAUCAACUUUGAAGCGAGAG